rnacentral:rRNA from 1 species
UUGCUGGGCGGAUUAGUGGCGAACGGGUGAGUAAUACGUGAGUAACCUGCCCUUGACUCUGGGAUAAGCCUGGGAAACUGGGUCUAAUACUGGAUACUACCUCUUGCCGCAUGGUGGGUGGUGGAAAGGGUUUUACUGGUUUUGGAUGGGCUCACGGCCUAUCAGCUUGUUGGUGGGGUAAUGGCUCACCAAGGCGACGACGGGUAGCCGGCCUGAGAGGGUGACCGGCCACACUGGGACUGAGACACGGCCCAGACUCCUACGGGAGGCAGCAGUGGGGAAUAUUGCACAAUGGGCGGAAGCCUGAUGCAGCGACGCCGCGUGAGGGAUGACGGCCUUCGGGUUGUAAACCUCUUUCAGUAGGGAAGAAGCGAGAGUGACGGUACCUGCAGAAGAAGCGCCGGCUAACUACGUGCCAGCAGCCGCGGUAAUACGUAGGGCGCAAGCGUUGUCCGGAAUUAUUGGGCGUAAAGAGCUCGUAGGCGGUUUGUCGCGUCUGCUGUGAAAGCCCGGGGCUCAACCCCGGGUCUGCAGUGGGUACGGGCAGACUAGAGUGCAGUAGGGGAGACUGGAAUUCCUGGUGUAGCGGUGAAAUGCGCAGAUAUCAGGAGGAACACCGAUGGCGAAGGCAGGUCUCUGGGCUGUUACUGACGCUGAGGAGCGAAAGCAUGGGGAGCGAACAGGAUUAGAUACCCUGGUAGUCCAUGCCGUAAACGUUGGGCACUAGGUGUGGGGGACAUUCCACGUUUUCCGCGCCGUAGCUAACGCAUUAAGUG